UACAGAGGGGGCAAGCGGUGUUCGGAAUUACUGGGCGUAAAGGGCGCGUAGGCGGCCUGUUAAGUCGAACGUGAAAUCCCCGGGCUCAACCCGGGAACUGCGUCCGAUACUGGCUGGCUUGAAUCCGGGAGAGGGAUGCGGAAUUCCAGGUGUAGCGGUGAAAUGCGUAGAUAUCUGGAGGAACACCGGUGGCGAAGGCGGCAUCCUGGACCGGUAUUGACGCUGAGGCGCGAAAGCCAGGGGAGCAAACGGG
rnacentral:rRNA from 1 species